GUGUCAAUGGUGUUAAUGGCAGCAUGUUGCUUUGUGGAGGCAAAGGCACCGGUUCAAAUCCGGUUUGACACCCA
rnacentral:tRNA from 2 species